AACCUUUACAAUGCACGAAAGUGUGAUAAGGGGAAUCCUAAGUGCUUUGCUUUUAGCAAAGCUUGUUGCUCAAGGAGCAAAAAUCUUGGCGAAUAAGUG
rnacentral:rRNA from 1 species